rnacentral:rRNA from 1 species
UCGAGCGGACAGAUGGGAGCUUGCUCCCUGAUGUUAGCGGCGGACGGGUGAGUAACACGUGGGUAACCUGCCUGUAAGACUGGGAUAACUCCGGGAAACCGGGGCUAAUACCGGAUGCUUGUUUGAACCGCAUGGUUCAGACAUAAAAGGUGGCUUCGGCUACCACUUACAGAUGGACCCGCGGCGCAUUAGCUAGUUGGUGAGGUAACGGCUCACCAAGGCAACGAUGCGUAGCCGACCUGAGAGGGUGAUCGGCCACACUGGGACUGAGACACGGCCCAGACUCCUACGGGAGGCAGCAGUAGGGAAUCUUCCGCAAUGGACGAAAGUCUGACGGAGCAACGCCGCGUGAGUGAUGAAGGUUUUCGGAUCGUAAAGCUCUGUUGUUAGGGAAGAACAAGUGCCGUUCAAAUAGGGCGGCACCUUGACGGUACCUAACCAGAAAGCCACGGCUAACUACGUGCCAGCAGCCGCGGUAAUACGUAGGUGGCAAGCGUUGUCCGGAAUUAUUGGGCGUAAAGGGCUCGCAGGCGGUUUCUUAAGUCUGAUGUGAAAGCCCCCGGCUCAACCGGGGAGGGUCAUUGGAAACUGGGGAACUUGAGUGCAGAAGAGGAGAGUGGAAUUCCACGUGUAGCGGUGAAAUGCGUAGAGAUGUGGAGGAACACCAGUGGCGAAGGCGACUCUCUGGUCUGUAACUGACGCUGAGGAGCGAAAGCGUGGGGGAGCGAACAGGAUUAGAUACCCUGGUAGUCCACGCCGUAACGAUGAGUGCUAAGUGUUAGGGGGUUUCCGCCCCUUAGUGCUGCAGCUAACGCAU